CCUACGGGAGGCAGCAGUGAGGAAUAUUGGUCAAUGGGCGCGAGGCUGAACCAGCCAAGUCGCGUGAAGGAUGACUGCCCUACGGGUUGUAAACUUCUUUUGUAAAGGAAUAAAGUGAGGCACGUGUGCCUGUUUGUAAGUACUUUAUGAAUAAGGAUCGGCUAACUCCGUGCCAGCAGCCGCGGUAAUACGGAGGAUCCGAGCGUUAUACGGUUUUAUUGGGUUUAAAGGGAGCGUAGAUGGGUUUUUAAGUCAGUUGUGAAAGUGUGCGGGUCAACCGGAAAAUUGCCAUUGAUACUGGCAGUCUUGAGUACAGUUGAGGUAGGCGGAAUUCGUGGUGUAGCGGUGAAAUGCUUAGAUAUCACGAAGAACUCCGAUUGCGAAGGCAGCUUACUAAACUGCCACUGACAUUGAUGCUCGAAAGUGUGGGUAUCAAACAGGAGUAGAUACCCUGGUAGUC
rnacentral:rRNA from 1 species